GUGCCAGCAGCCGCGGUAAUACAGAGGGUGCAAGCGUUAAUCGGAAUUACUGGGCGUAAAGCGCGCGUAGGCGGUUCGUUAAGUUGGAUGUGAAAUCCCCGGGCUCAACCUGGGAACUGCAUUCAAAACUGACGAGCUAGAGUAUGGUAGAGGGUGGUGGAAUUUCCUGUGUAGCGGUGAAAUGCGUAGAUAUAGGAAGGAACACCAGUGGCGAAGGCGACCACCUGGACUGAUACUGACACUGAGGUGCGAAAGCGUGGGGAGCAAACAGGAUUAGAUACCCCAGUAGUCC
rnacentral:rRNA from 1 species